rnacentral:sRNA from 2 species
UAUUCUGCCCCAUGGGGAAGGAUGAGAAGCUUCGACUAAGGUUCGACUCGAGCGAAGCGAGAGAACG